rnacentral:rRNA from 1 species
UACAGAGGGUGCGAGCGUUAAUCGGAAUUACUGGGCGUAAAGCGCACGUAGGUGGCGACGUAAGUCGGGUGUGAAAGCCCCGGGCUCAACCUGGGAAUUGCAUUCGAGACUGCAUUGCUGGAGUACGGAAGAGGAAGGCGGAAUUCCCGGUGUAGCGGUGAAAUGCGUAGAUAUCGGGAGGAACAUCAGUGGCGAAGGCGGCCUUCUGGUCCAGUACUGACACUCAAGUGCGAAAGCGUGGGGAGCAGACAGG